GUUGUAUUAGUAAAGCAUAUUGCAUUUCUAAGAGAUCACUUUAGACCAGGGAUCACCAACCCUGUUCUUGGAGAGCUACCAUCCUGCACAUUUCAGUAGCAACCUCAAACACACCUGUCUGUAAUUAUCAAGUGCUGUUUCAGGUCCUAGUUAAUAAGUUUCAGGUUUGAUCAGGGUUGGCGCUGAAUCCUGCUGGAAGGUAGAUCUCCAGGAAUAGGGUUGGUGACCCCUGGUUUAGACCACGUCAGUGUUAGGCCUUAGUUCAAUUAGGACAUUUAAGUAGCUUUUAUAAACGUGUCUUAGAAAAAUACAUUACUGGUGUGCAUCUUCAGAUGAAACAUCGAAACUGACAUAUUUUAAGAUCUGCUAUCAGUGAGAUGUGAAGUUGUGUUGUUGUUAAUUUUUGUUCUUAUUUUCCUAAGCAGAUUCUGUCAUUUCACGGUGAACUACUCCCCUUCGGGAUGCCAUUAAUCACAUCCUUGCAGGAAGAGACGAGAAUUCAAAGUCAGAACUCAAAUAUAUGAAUCCAGUUAAAGAUACAGAAUUGAGAGCAGUCAGUCAUCCAAUCCCUCACCAAACUGAGCAUGAGGUGCAUUGUGUCUGAGGUCAGUGUGGCACUUCAUCUGCCAAAGAGGAAUUUGGAGAAGUUGGUGUCCAGCACCAGGAAGUGUCACCCGCUGUUCUUCUUCACAGACGUUA